rnacentral:rRNA from 1 species
ACGCAAUUGGUGGAUGCCUAGGUGCAAGUUGCCGAAGAAGGACGCGUAAGGCCGCGAAAGUCGUCGGGGAGCUGCCAAAAAGCUGUGAUCCGUCGGUGUCCGAAUGGGGAAACCCACUCCUUUAUGGAGUGCCUCGGAGCCAAAACAUGCCACUUGUGGUAUGUAUAACUCUGAUGGCGGGAACCGUCUGAACUGAAACAUCUCAGUAAGGCGAGGAAGAGAAAACAAUAGUGAUUCCGUUAGUAGCGGAGAGCGAAAGCGGAAGAGCCCAAAUCUCGCUGUUUCUUCGGAAAUAGCGGGAGGUUGUAGGAGCCCACUAAAGGAAGUUUGUUUUGUAGCAGAACAGUCUGGAAUGUCUGGCCAUAGAAAGUGAAAGCCUUGUAUGCGAAACUUAACAAACUUCCUUGGGAUUUCCUGAGUACCACGGUGCAAAUACACUGUGGGAAGCUGGGGGAACCAUCCCCCAAGGCUAAAUACAACUUGCAACCGAUAGUGAACUAGUACCGUGAGGGAAAGGUGAAAAGAAGGGCGGGACGCCCAGUGAAAUAGAAACUGAAACCAGUUGCGAACAAACCGUCAGAGCAUCUCGUUUCACUCGAUGCUUAAGUCAAAAGGUAAAAGUCAAAGUUCAAAUUAUUUUUGACUUUUGAAUUUUAACUUUUGAAUUUGAACACCGAGUGAAGCGAGGUGUGAUGACGUGCCUAUUGAAGAAUGAGCCGGCGAGUUGCUCAUACGCUGCAAGCUUAAUCCACUUAAACGGAGUAGGCGAAGGGAAACCGAGUGCGAAUAGCGCGAUUUAGUAGCGUGUGGCAGACCCGAAACCAGGUGAUCUAUCCAUGAGCAGGGUGAACUCCGCCUAACGGCGGUGGGAGGCCCGAACCCGUUGAUGUUGCAAUAUCAUGGGAUGACUUGUGGAUAGGGGUAAUAUGCCAACCGAACCUGGAGAUAGCUGGUUCUCCCCGAAAGGUCUAUAGGGACCGUGUCUACCAAAAAUUAGAGGCUGGUAGAGCUACUGGAUGGGUGAGGGAGGGCAACCGACUUCACUCAACCAAACUCCGAAUAGUCUCUAAUAAAGGGUAGAUAGACAGCCACAUCGGGCUAAGCUGAUGUGACUAAAGGGAAACAACCCAGACUCUCAGCUAAGGUCUUUAAGUUUCUGCGAUUUUUCGCGGCGGCAUCAAGGUUUUUCCUUGUUGUUGCGGCUAAGUUUGAAAGGAAGUUUUCUUCUUCAGACAGCUAGGAGGUUGGCUCAGAAGCAGCCAUCCUUUAAAGAAAGCGUAACAGCUCACUAGUUGAAGGAGAAAGCGCCUAAAAUUUAUCGAGGAUAAGCCGAACACCGAAGCUAGAGCCCCGCCGUAAGGCGGGGGGUAGGGGAGCGUUCCAAAAACAGUGAAGUUCUGCCGUAAGGCAGGGUGGAGUUUUUGGAAGUGAGAAUGCCGGCAUGAGUAGCGUACAAUUGCUGUGAGAAUCAGCAACGCCGAACACCCAAGGUUUCCCCCGCAAUGUUCGUCAGCGGGGGGUUAGUCGGUACCUAAGGCAAGUCCCGCAAUUUGCGGGAGUAGCUGAUGGAUGACUGGUUAAAAUUCCAGUAUUUAUUUUGGAUCGUUAUCAGUUGGGGGUUGACAGGAUGGGAUGUCCAGAGCCUGCUUGUGAAUAUAGUAGGUGCAAGCUGUGAGGAAGAAUAGACUAGCAAAUCUGUCUAUUUGUUUAUUCAAGCAGCGAUGCAAAGUCAAUAGAGAUAUUGGCGAUUUUGGUACAUUCUGUCCUUCAAAAAAGGCUCGCAACGAGAUUCAAAAUAAGCCGUACCUCAAACCAACACAGGUGGGUUGGACGAGUAGUCUAAGGCGGGCGAGAGAAGGAGGCUUAAGGAACUCGGCAAACAAGCUGGACGUAAGUUCGCAAGAUGUCCUCCCCGCCUACGGCGGGGCGAAGCUAAAGUUUGUCAGUCGACUGUUUAUCAAAAACACAGGUCCGUGCAAAGGCGAAAGCCGCAGUAUACGGGCUGACGCCUGCCCAGUGCCGGUAAGUUAAGGGGAGUGGUUCUUGUCGCAAGACAAGUGGCCACGAACUCAAGCUCCGGUAAACGGCAGCAGUAACUAUAACUGUUCUACGGUAGCGAAGUUCCUUGUCGGGUAAGUUCCGACCUGCACGAAAGGCGUAACGAGCUGACAACUGUCUUAAGCCUUCACUCGGCGAAAUUGCGAUGGCUGUGAAGACGCGGCCUACUUCCACCAGGACAAAAAGACCCCGUGGAGCUUUACUGUAGUUUAGUAUCGACUUGAGCGUUUCAAUUGUCGAGAAUAGGAGGGACCUCGCCUUUGGUGGGGGUCAGUGUAAUACCUCUCUUUGAACCGUUUUGAGUCUUACCCGAGAGCCUUGCAUACAGGUUCGGGGAAGGUGCUAGAUGGGCAGUUUUACUGGGGCGGUACCCUGCUAAACUGUAACGCAGGGGCACAAAGGUCAGCUUGCUGCGAAUGGAAACCGCAGUGAAUGUGCAAAGGCAUAAGCUGGCUUGACUGCGAGGCCGACGGGCCGAGCAGGUGCGAAAGCAGGUCUUAGUGAUCCUCCGAUGUCAUGUGGGUGACACGGAGCUUAACGGAUAAAAGCUACCCCGGGGAUAACAGAGUAGUCGCGCCCGAGCGUCCACAGCGACGGCGCGGAUCGCUACCUCGAUGUCGGCUCAUCGCAUCCUGGGGCUGGAGAAGGUCCCAAGGGUUGGUCUGUUCGCCCAUUAAAGCGGUACGUGAGCUGGGUUCAGAACGUCGCGAGACAGUUCGGACUCUAUCCGGUGGAAGCGUUGAAUCUUGAGGGGAGCUCUCCUCAGUACGAGAGGACCAGGAGGGAGGAAUCCCUGGUGUUCCGGUUGUUGCGUCAGCAGCAUUGCCGGGUAGCCACAUUCCUUCGGGAUAACCGCUGAAAGCAUCUAAGCGGGAAGCCCACCCCAAGAUUAGGAUUCUUUAAGACCCCUGGAAGAAUACCAGGUUAAUCGGCUGGCAGUGGAAGAGGCGUGAGCCUUUAAGCUUACCAGUGCGAAUCGGUCGAAGACCUUUUA